UACGUAGGUGGCAAGCGUUGUCCGGAAUUAUUGGGCGUAAAGCGCGCGCAGGCGGUCCUUUAAGUCUGAUGUGAAAGCCCACGGCUCAACCGUGGAGGGUCAUUGGAAACUGGGGGACUUGAGUGCAGAAGAGGAGAGUGGAAUUCCACGUGUAGCGGUGAAAUGCGUAGAGAUGUGGAGGAACACCAGUGGCGAAGGCGACUCUCUGGUCUGUAACUGACGCUGAGGCGCGAAAGCGUGGGGAGCAAACAGGAUUAGAUACC
rnacentral:rRNA from 1 species